CUGCUUCCUUCAACAUCCAGAGCUUGAAACACCUCCAUCCUUCCUCUUCAUGCCAUGGCCUCCCUGCUCCUCUUCUGUGUGGCCUUUUGUCUCCUGGGAACAGGGUCCAUGGAUGCUGAUGUUACCCAGACCCCAAGGAAUAAGAUCGCAAAGACAGGAAAGAGGAUUAUGCUGGAAUGUUCUCAGACUAAGGGUCAUGAUCGAAUGUACUGGUAUCGACAAGACCCAGGACUGGGGCUACGGUUGAUCUAUUACUCUUUUGAUGUCAAAGAUAUAAACAAAGGAGAGAUCUCCGAUGGAUACAAUGUCUCUCGACAGGAACAGGCUAAAUUCUCCCUGUCCCUAGAGUCUGCCACCCCCAACCAGAUAGCUCUUUACUUCUGUGCCACCAGUGAUUUGCACAGUGCUUCUUGGCCACCUGCUGUCUACACAGAAAGACAGACACAUGGGCCUUAUGGAAGCUGAUAUCUACCAGAACCCAAGACACUGUGUUAUAGGGACAGGAAAGAAGAUCACUCUGGAAUGUUCUCAAACCAUGGGCCAUGACAAAAUGUACUGGUAUCAACAAGAUC